rnacentral:lncRNA from 1 species
CUUUCUCAAAUUUUUCAUAAUCAUCAGCAUCUGAACCAUCGAUCUUCUCUUCUUUGUAAUUUCCACCAGACAGCAAAGAGCCCUUGGCACAUUCUUCCACAUUUAGCUUGGCUUGUCCAUGUUGAGCAGCAGCAGACUCAAGAUGCAGGUCCAAUGCGACCAUUUUGACUGUUUUUUAACCUCUGAAAGCUAUCACGUUGCAAACACAACACAAACACCUGCAAGUAUCAUGUAUUUAGCAGGACUGUCCUCAAUACAGAAUGCAGUCGGAGGUCCUAAAUUCAAGGAAACCACUGCGCACAGUUCUGGAAUGCCAUAUAAUGCCGAAGAUCAGGCAUCACAAAAGGUGAAAGCAACGCCGAACAGCUCCAGCAGCAAAAUCUCGAUAAACUGAUCACCCAACAAUCACAGAUAGCACUAACUAUCUGGACAGUGAGUCGAGAGGGGAAUAAUACUACUCGAUAGGUAUCCAUCCAGUCUCCAGAGAACUCCCAAGCAAUUCGAACACAGCAUCCAUCUGCACCAAAUUUACCGCGUUGUCCACCCCCAUUCUCUGGCAAGAGGAACACGUCAUAGCAUCAAAUGCCAGGAAAUGGGGAAGAAAAAAAAAAGAAACAUGAUUCUUUCAUGACAUGGUUUCGACGUGUUAGCAUGUACCACUCGUGCACGUUGUUAUACUGGGUUCAUUAAGACGUUAGAUUUCAAGGAAGCCUACCUCCAGAAGACAUCAGCUUCAUCUUCAAAAUCUCUAGUUAACAAGCACUUAUAUCCAUACGAGAUUUUCAAUCCAUUGAUUCUUUGAGCAGAAGUAUCUUGGAGAAAACCAGC